GUGCAGCAGGCGCGAAACCUCCGCAAUACACGAAAGUGUGACGGGGCCAUCCCGAGUGCCGUCCGCUGAGGACGGCUUUUCCCCAGUGUACACAGCUGGGGGAAUAAGGAGAGGGCAAGCCUGGUGUCAGCCGCCGCGGUAAUACCAGCUCUCCGAGUGGUGGGGACGCUUAUUGGGCCUAAAGCAUCCGUAGCCGGCUGGGCAAGUCCUCCGUUAAAUCCAACGAUUCAAUCGUUGGGCUGCGGGGGAUACUGUCCAGCUUGGGGGCGGGAGAGGCCGACGGUAUUCCCGGGGUAGGGGUGAAAUCCUAUAAUCCCGGGAGGACCACCAGUGGCGAAGGCUGUCGGCUAGAACGCGCCCGACGGUGAGGGAUGAAAGCUGGGGGAGCGAACCGGAUUAGAUACCCCUGUAGU
rnacentral:rRNA from 1 species